rnacentral:lncRNA from 1 species
UUAGUAACUGUCCAUUAGGGAGUUAGGUCUUGAUUUAACCAGCAGUAGUUGCUAUCAAAGACAGAUCACUAAAACAGAUGGAAUAUUGCUCUGAUUGUGUGUGGCUUUUCCUUUGUUGCAGUGAUGGGCUGCUCCCUGGCUUUCUCACACAAUUGCAAACAGCACAUCAAGAAAAAUCAAAGUGAGCAUCAAACAAUUAUCUGUCAUUUCUUGCUCUUAGUCCCUCUUUCCCUUUUGAAAAUUGAUAUUUAGUUAGGAUUGCGGUGCAGAGCAUAGUCCUCAAGAGAGCCAGCUGGGCACCUAACUUAAGGUGACUGCAGCAGAGCCAAUAGCUCUGACAGUAACUGAAGAACAGAUGCAGAUCCCUGACCAGAGAAAGGUCCCAGACCCCUGCACGUGGAAGGUCACAGGUCCUGCUUUCAGUCAGAUCCAUUGCAGUGUGAUUUCCAUGACUCAAAAAGAAAAACAACCAAGCACUGCUAUAUCCAGCUGGUGUAAAUACAGUGCAGUUGAUCUAGUGUAACCAAACAGCUCAAGAUCCAACAACUGAUAACAAGGAGAAUUGCUGUGGGAGCAUUUCAGAGUAACAUAGAUGUCAGAGGCUGAUGUUGAGCCUGGAACCAGCCCAACUGCAAGGAAUGGGACCCUCAGAGGCUGUCCUUGCCUAUCUCACCUGUGCAGCAAUGUGAUUGCUUGGAGCGGAUUAUUUAAGAACUAACUCUAUGUGAUCAAACAUAUGGCAGAAAUCACUCAUGCCUUGACUGUGUUUUACAUGCACCUGAAGUGGUCAGAAGAAACUCAUUCAGCUGUGGCUGUCUCAGCAAUAAGGAAGAAUAGUUAUAUGAGGGCUGCUCUGACUCUGCUGGGACAUGAGACACAGCAAGUUGCAAAACAUUUAGGUCACAGAAACAUAUUCCCCAUCCUAUAA